UAAUCAAUGUACUCUGGUGGUGUCGUUAAAAAACCCAACUUUAGCUGUAAGGUAACUAAAAACGACAUAAUAAAUAAAACUCGUAUACAAAACAAGGAGACAAAUGUUUUGGCCACUGCAACACCCCGGAAACAAACGUUUUAAAAAGGAGAAAUAAUUUGGAGGAAAGAGACUAUAUCCGAUUUCAAUUACUAAUAUGUACGCUAUCGAUUUGUUUGUUAUUUCCAAGAAAAACUCUACUUUCUGUUUGUGUGCUUUCUGUAACACAAAGUGGAAUUUUCCACUGCACGAGUGAUGUGACGUGCUGCUCAAUAAAGAAUAGGUAUAUAAAUUUAUAAUAAAAGAGCCUGCGUCAUUGGUGCCCGGCCAUUCCCGUUAACGAAACUAAGAGGACAGAACUAGAAAUCUGUAUCAAAUUACACAUCCAGGUCCACGCAAGACAAAACUAUGUCCAGCUGCGGAAAAUACGGAGGAACUGGAGACAAGCCGGAUGUGGAUAACCACUGCAAACAAUGCAAUCCCAACAACCCCAGUUACCAAGGGCACCAAUCGGGAUAUUCCGGAACCGGAACCAAGCCGGAUCUGGAUAACCACAGCCAGCAGUUGAACCCGACCAGCGACAAGUACCAGGCGCCUAAAAAAUAGCACGGCGUCAGCACUUGGCGCAUGCACCGUCGCAGCUGACAUGGAUAUUUUAUUGUUUAUGAGAUCAAACAAAAUGUAAACGAUAAAAUUUAACGUCAGUUGUUGGUUCUAGUUCGUUCUGGUUGAAAUUAAUAAAUCUGCUUCUGUGAUAA